UGACCGCUCAAGAUUACGGAUACUUUGUCAGUAAUCAAUUUAUGUUUUAAUAAAUAAUUUGAGCUAAGGCCAGACGGACAGCCGGGUCAAAAGCCGA
rnacentral:sRNA from 1 species